rnacentral:snRNA from 1 species
AUAGCUUCUUGACCUUUUAGCUAAGAUCAUGUGUAAUAUCUGUUCUUAUGCAUUUAAUACC